rnacentral:rRNA from 1 species
UGAGAUUUAAAGAGCCGCAGUAUCCUGACUGUGCUAAGGUAGCAUAAUCAUUAGUCUUUUAAUUGGAGACUGGUAUGAAUGGUUAAACGAGAAAUCAACUUUUUUUGUUGUAAAGCUUGAAUUUAACUUUUUAGUGAAAAGGCUAAAAUUUUUCAAAAAGACGAGAAGACCCUAUAGAGUUUUAUAAUCAAGGGAAUAUUUCUUCCUUAGAUUUUUAUGAGAGGUAUUUACUGUAGUUAUUUUGUUGGGGCGACAUUUAGAUAUAAAAAACUCUUUAUUUUUAAAACUUUUAUGAAAGGUAAAUUGAUCCUUUAAAAAAGAUCAUAAGAAAAAAUUACCUUAGGGAUAACAGCGUAAUCUUUUUUGAGAGUUCUAAUCGACAAAAAGGUUUGCGACCUCGAUGUUGGACUAAAAUUAAGGCAGGGUGCAGCAGUUCUGCUAUAAGGUCUGUUCGACCUAUAAUUUUUUACACGAUCUGAGUUCAGACCGGCGUAAGCCAGGUUG